UGACGUUAGCGGCGGACGGGUGAGUAACACGUGGGUAACCUACCUAUAAGACUGGGAUAACUCCGGGAAACCGGGGCUAAUACCGGAUAANACAUGAAACCGCAUGGUUUCAUGAUGAAAGACGGUUUUGCUGUCACUUAUAGAUGGACCCGCGGCGUAUUAGCUAGUUGGUAAGGUAACGGCUUACCAAGGCAACGAUACGUAGCCGACCUGAGAGGGUGAUCGGCCACACUGGAACUGAGACACGGUCCAGACUCCUACGGGAGGCAGCAGA
rnacentral:rRNA from 1 species